rnacentral:rRNA from 1 species
GACGUAGGGCGCGAGCGUUGUCCGGAUUUAUUGGGCGUAAAGAGCUCGUAGGCGGCUGUCAGUCCGUGUGAAAUCCCUCGGCUCAACUGAGGAACUGCACGGGGAAACUGCCUGGCUUGAGUUCGGGAGAGGGAAGCGGAAUUCCGGGUGUAGCGGUGAAAUGCGCAGAUAUCAGGAAGAACACCCGUGGCGAAGGCGGCUCUCUGGUACGUGACUGACGCUGAGACGCGAAAGCGUGGGGAGCAAACAGG